rnacentral:ncRNA from 2 species
CGCCAUCGACUGGGGUGCCGCCCGCCUGACCAUCAGGCCCGCGGCUGAGAUCAGACCCAUGGAACCUGCUCCGGAUCAUGCCGGCGAAGGGAGAUCGCGAGACCGUGACC